rnacentral:rRNA from 1 species
UACGAAGGGGGCUAGCGUUGCUCGGAAUUACUGGGCGUAAAGCGCACGUAGGCGGUCUUUUAAGUCGGGGGUGAAAUCCUGGAGCUCAACUCCAGAACUGCCUUCGAUACUGGAAGACUCGAGUCCGGGAGAGGUGAGUGGAACUGCGAGUGUAGAGGUGAAAUUCGUAGAUAUUCGCAAGAACACCAGUGGCGAAGGCGGCUCACUGGCCCGGUACUGACGCUGAGGUGCGAAAGCGUGGGGAUCAAACAGG